AAACCAACAGGGAUUGCCCUAGUAACGGCGAGUGAAGCGGCAACAGCUCAAAUUUGAAAUCUGGCUUCGGCCCGAGUUGUAAUUUGCAGAGGAAGCUUUAGGCGCGGCACCUUCUGAGUCCCCUGGAACGGGGCGCCAUAGAGGGUGAGAGCCCCGUAUAGUUGGAUGCCUAGCCUGUGUAAAGCUCCUUCGACGAGUCGAGUAGUUUGGGAAUGCUGCUCAAAAUGGGAGGUAAAUUUCUUCUAAAGCUAAAUACCGGCCAGAGACCGAUAGCGCACAAGUAGAGUGAUCGAAAGAUGAAAAGCACUUUGAAAAGAGGGUUAAACAGCACGUGAAAUUGUUGAAAGGGAAGCGCUUGUGACCAGACUUGCGCCAGGCUGAUCAUCCGGUGUUCUCACCGGUGCACUCGGCCCGGCACAGGCCAGCAUCGGUUCUCGCGGGGGGAUAAAGGUCUCGGGAACGUAGCUCCUCCGGGAGUGUUAUAGCCCGGGGCGUAAUGCCCUCGCGGGGACCGAGGUUCGCGCAUCUGCAAGGAUGCUGGCGUAAUGGUCAUCAGCGAC
rnacentral:rRNA from 5 species